AAACAACAAUCAGUGCAUGCAUCAAUGAAAGAAAACCGUGGCCACUGCCAAUACGAGUUCAACCAAAGGAUUCAUCUUAAUUGCAGAUUCAUCUUCGUCUUCUCCUCGAUUGGAUGUUAUUGCUAGAUUUUCCUCUGUUCUGGUGCAACUCUUAUUAAUUGUUGGACCACAACGACCCAGAUUAUAACUCUUUUCAUCAAACCUGCCAAAUUGUUUUUUGUCUGGGAUCAGACCAGACAAGUUCUUGUAUGACUCGUUAAAGUUGGAUAAAUAGUUGAUGAGUGAUCUGAAGAUCACCGAUCAGAAAAUUUUUCAUUUAUGUUUGUGUAAAUUAUUCAUAGUAUGGUCUACUAUGAAAUUACAAAAAUAAGCAUAGUAAAUUUGAAUAAAGGAAAGGAAAAUGAGAAGGAAAACAGAGGAAGGCUAAGGACAAAUAAGCUGAUUCAUCAGUAACUCAAGAUCACAACUUUUGGAUGUUUUUAGCCUCCGAAAUUUCAACAAAUAUUCAAGUGAUGUGAGGUUGGUCAAGGUAGAAGGAAAGUUUCCACUUAAUUGAAACUUUGAGCUUAGAUCCAACUCAAAAGGAUUCUUCAAAUUACAUAGUCCUGAACUUGAAAAUAAAAGAUCAAAAUUUUAUAGAAUGAAAACUAAUUAUAGCGAAUUCGAUCAAAAUCCAGUACAAGACUUAGAGAACAGACAAAAAUCAAAUUGCCUAAUUAUUUUGGUCAGCACAAAUAAUAAUAGAGUAAUGUGAACUUAUUUCUCAUAUAAUAUGAUGUUGAUUGCAAAAACGUUUCAAUAAUCUGGAAAAAGGGAAAAAAAAUAAAAUGCCCUCAGCACUUUUUGCUCAUCAUAGCCCGAAGUCCUUCUUGUUUAACAUUAUGAUUUUCUGAGGAAGAAUUUGUUCACUUGAUGUUGUUCAUUGGACAAUGGUUCUGUAACCUCUAAACCUAUUGGAUAAUGUAAAGAGAAAUUCAUAAUAUUUUAGUUGUCUUCUUAAAUAAUAAAUUGUCUCAAAAUACAAUUAAUUUGUCUUAAAUUUAAUUUAUUCCUCAGCAUUCAAAGAAAAACAAAAACAAAAAAAGAAAAAGAAAAACGACCUGGUCUUUAUAUGUAAUUUUGUCCAAGUACUUUGAUCAACAAAUCAUUAGGAAGGUGGUGUAUCAGUGAUGCAAAUAUUUAAUUAUCAUGUUUCAACAUAACAAUUCUGUGUAAAUUGUUCACUUUAUGUUUCUAGAGAACUGUUUAUAUUAUUAUUACUACUCAAAUUCAAUGCUUCCAAGUAUUUGAAUUUAAUUAGCUAAUCCUGUAUCAAGAAUUAAUUAAUGAACAUAAGAUAAAUGUCAUAUUAGUUAGAUUUAGAUUUUUUUUUUCCAGUUUUGAUGUAUAGAUAAAAAUAAUACUUCAAAAGCAUUGAAAUGUAAGAGCUAUUAAAAAAAUGCUUUUCAUUCAAAGCUAUAAGUAAUGAAAUGAAGAUAGAUAUCAUUGUUGAUUUAAAAAAAAUCAGAAAAAAAAAAAGAAAAGAGUGAAAGAAAAGAGCAGGUUAUGUUAGAAAAUAGUGAUAGAGUAUGUUAAGGACUAAAAUUUAUUAAAGAAAGCAGUGGUUCCAUUUGAAAUUUGAUCAAGUUAGAAUUAGUCAAUUAUGCAUCGAGAAUCAAAAGAAUGAAGAAAGGGAAUUCAAAUUAGACUUACAAAAUUAUAAUAAAGUGAUUAGUUAAGAUCCAAUUAAGCAGAUUUACUAAAAAAAAUAUUGAAAAAUAAAGGGCCAUAACAUUGCCAAAAGGACUAGGAAACUAAGUAGGAAGGGCUGAUUGUUGCGGAAUACCUUGAAGUGUAGGUUAUUCCACAACCACGAAGACCAAUUGCUUUCAAGUUUGUCAA
rnacentral:lncRNA from 1 species